UUGCCCGCGUUUCUUGGUUCUGUUGAAUAUUAGCGUGUGUUUUAUUCGACGUUUUCAUGCAAACUUUUGAAUGUGCUUUUUGCCGAACAGUUUCGUAUCUAAACCAAACUUUCGGCUCCAAAUACGCGUCCACUUUUAAUUUUGGGCUACUCAAGGUUGAUAAAUGAAAAACGCAUACCUAAAAAACGUUUGCAAACAUUUUUUACUUCCGGUUUCCGCCCAUACGCGCCCUUCUUGGACAACUGAGCUCCACUCGUCCGAUUUUGGACAGCAGACUUGGAUUGUCUUUAGACUCGAGGUAGGUUGCGUUCAGAUAAGAAAAUGUCCCGUCUUGUGCACUUGCGUCUCAUGUAAACCACCGAUGAGUAAAUAUGAAGCUAUUUGUUAGAUGUUGAUUGACUUUACCCUGCAUAAUGGGGCAGUCCGUGCUGCAACUACGAUGCUGCAACUACACGGCAGAUAAGAAAAUGUCCCGUCUUGAGCACAAUUUUGUACGAAUUUUAUUUGGCCUUAAUGGCGUUCGUGUUGUAAAUACGAUGCUGCAGCUACAUGCAACGCUCUCCCCCGAAACUACCAGUUUAAUUCGUCUGUUUUACACUAAUGUGUACACUAUCUGUUGACAUUGGCCUUUUCCUCAAAUAUAUAUAUACAUAAUUUGACGACUGCAGCUUAUAUCAAAAGUGAGCAGCAAGAUCGCGAGGUUUCAGUGAGGAUAGAGAUAAUGCACUUCAAAAUGAGGCUGGAAGAGGAGCCGAAGGGCAUGAGGAAAGGACCAAUUCCACACCCAAUCAAGAAUCACGCAGCGUGCAAAAGUUGACAUGUGUGGGGAUCAUGUGACCAGGAGGGGACAAUGUGGAGCUCUGGGACGCGCUUUGGUUAUGGGUGCACUACGCUAAAGUUGUGGGGAUCAUGUGACCAGGAGGGGCUGUGUGGAGCUCUGGGAUGCGCUUUGGUUAUGGGUGCACGACAGAAAGGGUUUUGGAGUGGACAGUGUUUGGGGGACUGAUGGUUGGACUUGCUUAAGAGGUGCGCUGUAGUUGUGGUUGAGGUUGUGGCUUGUCUGGAUCCAGAGCAGCGUUGUCUUGUGAGUUUUGCCAUUGACGGCGCAUUUGGGGGAAGACCUCGUCACGUCGAUGGAAACAAACAAAACUGACGUGGAGCAUGUUGUCCAAUUUUGCAAUAUGACUUGUUGACUAUUGUAACAUUUUGUCUUUUUGUAACCUAUCACUGUCGUACUUGCGUUCUUUGUUCCCCUCUCGGUGUAGGGCCACGUUGGAGCGAGCCAGCCCACGAGGUCCCGGAAACACAAACAAAACAUUAACGUGGAGCUGAAUGUCCAAUUUUGUGAUGACGUGAUUAUUUUGUCUUUUUCUAACCUACCAUUGUCGUACUUGGGUUGUUUGUUCCCCCCUCGGUGUAGGGCGGCGUUGGAGAGAGCCGGUCCACGAGGUGACGGAAGUGCAAACAAAACUUUGCCGUCUUGCCGAAUGUCCAAUUUUGCGAUGUGACUUGUUGACUAUUGUAACAUUUUGUGUGUCUUUCUAACCUACCACUGUCAUACUUGCGUUCUUUGUUCCCCCCUCGGUGUAGGGCGGCGUUGGAGUGAGCCGGUCCACGAUGGACCGGAAGCGCAAACAAAACUUUGCCGUCUUGCCGAAUGUCCAAUUUUGCCAUAUGACUUGUUGACUAUUGUAACAUUUUGUGUCUUUCUAAUCUACCACUGUCAUACUUGCGUUCUUUGUUCUCCCCUCGGUGUAGGGCGACGUUGGAGCGCGCCGGAAACACAAACAGAACUUUGACGUGGAGCUGAAUGUUCAAUUUUGCGAUAUGACUUGAGGGCGUCCAAGACAUGACGUGAGCAGCGCACAAUUCAUUGCAUUCUGCCUUUUGCAGGCUGGACGCAAAAAAGGGAGGAUGCACGGCCUGACCCGGCGACAGUAACCAAGAGUAGCUAGCCGCUGUGAUCAAGCAAGUGAGCUCCAACUUGGGGUGUGCUUUGAGUUUCUGACAGUGUUUCUGCAGAUGGCGACUGGGACACGACACGAUCUGGCAGAGGCGGACGUUUCGGGCUGGCCGGGUGGCAUCACUCUGAAGAAUCCUGCAGCCAGCCGGGUUCUGAGGGAGACCCGCUUCCCUGGAGGCGUUGAUCGGCGCAGCGCGUAUGCGUGAAAUGGAGUUUUUCCUUUUUUUUUUUUUUUUUAAAUUCACACCAGUGGUGUCCAAACGUUUAAAGGCCUCAUACUGAAACAAAAAUGAGACGUGGCACAUUGCGGUACACCGUAAAAAUAUGUGGCUCGAAGUCUCUGACUGGUUGGCCACCCCUGCUCUAAUCAAUCACGACAUUUUACUCUUAAUAUUUUGUGCUACUGCUACAAAACUGUUCAUUUUGAAGCUCAUUCAUGUGGUGUCUUGAUAAACCUGACCUUGACACUGCAAAAAUGAGGCUAAACUACUACUGUAUGUCUGCGUCUGAGUGACAUUUUGAACAGAUGAUUUGACUUGGAAACAGCAUCUCUUAAUACUUUGAUGCUGUUGAUCAGUUGUAUUUUGGCGCUGCCCUAGUGGCCCAUGUCCAAUGGCCUUUUGUGGCAAAUAUCCCCGAGGCUGCCGUUUGGACACCAAUGGUGACGUGUGUGUAGGGCUGCACGUGUAUUAGAAAACUGCCACAAGUGGUCUAUUGACAUGCACUUUAAGAAACGAAUUUUUUUAAGGUGGCAAAUGAAUCGAGUUCCAUGUUUUCUUGCCUAAAUAUUUGUAAUUAUUUUAGAAGAUGACAAGUCAUUGAUGCAAGUUUAAGUUAACAACUAACUGAUCUCCUUCAGAUCAAAUAGUUCAUUGCCAUCCCAAGUUUUGGCAUGACUUGCUCAAUGCAAUGGUCUGGCUCAAUACUGCCAUAUCACUCAUUUUCCAAUAUGUUGUGCAGCCUUGAUAGAGUGCAAACGCGCAGCGACGGCAAGCGAGACUUUUGUGCUUGUGUCUUGCAAGGUGGAAGAGAAGCUGCACAAAACGGAGAGCCAGGAGACAGAGGUCACGAGGGAUUGGCGAGCAAAGGAAGAAAUCACCCCAAGAAAAGCAGUCUCCAUGUGAUGAAGAGGUUGUAGUCUGAUGCAUGGCUGGCCAGAGGGCUCGCUCACGUGGCGUCAGAGGGACUGGAGCAGUUCCUCAAAUCAAGAUGAGUAUCAUCUGCCGGUCACUGAGUACGUUGACAGAAGUGAACCGCAUGCAACGGAGUGCAGUCUUUCUUUUUGCAGUUGUGCGAGGCACAGGACGAGUCCGGACAUCGGCCCGGAGCGGACCUGAACCUUCAGCAGACCUUCGCCCGUGACGAGCGGCCUACAUGAGGCGGGUGCAGAUGCGGUGAGGCUGCGAGGGCAAAGCAGCCAACAUCUAGGGAGAGUAUGACUUUCUUUUUUUUUCCUUUUGCACUUUCUUGCCCUCCCUCCACUUUCUCACUGGGUGUGCACACUGUCUGUCUGCAUGAUGCUUCUCUUUCUUCCAAGUGCUGUUGUUGUGCAAUAUUGUUUUAAAGUGUUUUUUUUAAUACAUAGAGUGAGCUGUAAAGUUUGUACUGUAAUUGUGUGCCUCUGUACCUGAAUUAAAUUGUUAACUGAAUUCAAGUGGUCCAUUUUCAACAUUGGCCUGUGUAGUCUCGCUGUGCGUAAUGAGGUGAAUGUCAAGUAGACUGACACACAUAGAUGCAAAUGACAAGCGUGUCAAAGCGUAAAAAGUCGGCGUUGCAACCCAUGAAGUAUGUCUUUGGCAAACCUUUUUGCAACCCUGCUGUAAAAUGGCCACUGAAUUCAGAAUCUGGCUCCGUUUUGGUGCACAAUUUUUGUACGAGUAAAAGCCUUUAUUUUAAAGUCCAAGCCUGUUUUUCUUUUUGCGGUUAGAUUGUCAUGCGGGGUGUUUCUGUGAAUAAAGUUAACUUUGGUGUG